CCUACGGGUGGCAGCAGUGGGGAAUAUUGCACAAUGGGGGAAACCCUGAUGCAGCGACGCCGCGUGCGUGAAGAAGUAAUUCGUUAUGUAAAGCUCUAUCAGCAGGGGAGAAAAUGACGGUACCUGAGUCAGAAGCCCCGGCUAACUACGUGACAGCAGCCGCGGUAAUACGUAGGGGGCAAGCGUUAUCCGGAUUUACUGGGUGUAAAGGGAGCGUAGACGGCAGUGCAAGUCUGGAGUGAAAGGCGGGGGCUCAACCCCCGGACUGCUGUGGAAACUGGACGGCUUGAGUGCAGGAGCGGUAAGUGGAAUUCCUGGUGUAGCGGUGAAAUGCGUAGAUAUUAGGAGGAACACCAGUGGCGAAGGCGGCUUACCGGACUGUAACUGACGUUGAGGCUCGAAAGCGUGGGGAGCAAACAGGAUUAGAUACCCCUGUAGUC
rnacentral:rRNA from 1 species